rfam:Campylobacter upsaliensis JV21 genomic scaffold SCAFFOLD1, whole genome shotgun sequence.
CACAUAAAUGACGGGAGCUUGUGGGACAGGCUGAGAGUAAGCUAAAAGCUUAGACCGAACCAGAACUAGAUAAUGCUAGCGUUGGGAAGAUUUAUCACUUUUCUA